UUACGGCUCAGUAACACGUGGAUAACCUGCCCUUAGGUUCGGCAUAACUCCGGGAAACUGGUGAUAAUUCCGAAUAAACCAUUAUUGCUGGAAUGCUUUUUGGUUCAAAGGCUUCGGCUGCCUAAGGAUGGAUCUGCGGUCUAUCAGGUAGUAGUGGGUGUAAGGUACCUACUAGCCUACGACGGAUAUGGGUUGUGAGAGCAAGAGCCCAGGGAUGGAUUCUGAGACAUGAAUCCAGGCCCUACGGGGCGCAGCAGGCGCGAAAACUUUACAAUGCGGGAAACCGCGAUAAGGGGACACCGAGUGCCAGCAUAUUAUGUUGGCUGUCCACAUGUGUAAACGGCAUGUGUUAGCAAGGGCCGGGCAAGACCGGUGCCAGCCGCCGCGGUAACACCGGCGGCCCGAGUGGUAAUCACUUUUAUUGGGUCUAAAGGGUCCGUAGCCGGUUUGAUCAGUUCUUCGGGAAAUCUGACAGCUUAACUGUUAGGCUUCUGGGGAAUACUGUCAGACUUGGGACCGGGAGAGGUAAGAGGUACUACAGGGGUAGGAGUGAAAUCUUGUAAUCCCUGUGGGACCACCAGUGGCGAAGGCGUCUAACCAGAACGGGUCCGACGGUGAGGGACGAAAGCUGGGGGCACGAACCGGAUUAGAUACCCGGGUAGUCCCAGCCGUAAACGAUGUUCGCUAGGUGUCAGGGACGGUGCGACCGUUUCUGGUGCCGUAGGGAAGCCGUGAAGCGAACCACCUGGGAAGUACGGCCGCAAGGCUGAAACUUAAAGGAAUUGGCGGGGGAGCACUACAACGGGUGGAGCCUGCGGUUUAAUUGGAUUCAACGCCGGG
rnacentral:rRNA from 1 species